UUGUACAUUUCCUCUACACCACGUCCCCAUUAAUACACACCCCCUUUACUCCGUACCAAAUCCUGCAGUUUCUUGAAUAGCAAUUGUGAGUUUUUGUUCUAGUUCUUCUUUGGAAUUAUAAGGCGGAAUAUCUAAACGAUUGAAGCUGUUCAAAUUAGUAACAGUACUUAAAAAAUUUUAACAUACCAAGUAUGAGCUUUUGGAAGCUGAGAGAUAUGCCCUACUUUCUCGAUUGUAAACUUUCGUGGGCCAUCACUACCAUGCAUGUCCUUGAACCCGGAUAAAGGAAGCCUGGAGGUACCAGUAGCAAAUUGCAGAAGCUUCGCCUUUUUUUCCGGAGACCACUCACUCAGUAGCUCCCAAAACCAAAUUACAAUGUCAUCAGUCUCAGUAUAAGACCUAUAGUCUGUAAAACGCUUCCAAUCUUGAACGUCGAUAUCCCUUUUUCCGUUAAGUAAUGUAUCAAGUUCGUUUUCAUUAAAUAUUUGCAAAACCGAAUCAGGUAUUAAUUCAUUCAAUCCACCUUUCAAAGCAUUAAAUUGCUCUUCAGUACUGGUGACAAGUUUAUGCUCCGUAAGAGCUUUAAGAUAAUUCAUUUUAUUCUGAUUAUUGACUGCAAUAUUACGGCCAUUUGGAAUUAAAUCGACCGUCACAGAUUCACCAAAUCGGUUUUCCUCAACGCUAAAGUUUAGGCACAGAGAUUCAUCAACAUCAUUGUUCUUAAUCCAUUUCAAGCUUUCAUAAUAAACUUCAUCAACAUCCUUUACGUCCUCGAGGCACAAUGGCUUUUGGAGGAUCCGUUUAUAAAAAGGUAAUACAAAUUGAACAUCCAAAUAUCGACGAUGAUAUAUAGCCAAUCCCAUAACUCUGCCAACAAACCGAAAGUAGGAACGAAAAUCUGGAUUCACAGAAGAUAAGGGGCUAAUUUGAAGACCAUAGUUAUCGUCUGUAGCAUAUUCAAACAAGGAAUACCCAGGAUUGAAUAUUGCAUGAGACAAAAUAUAAAAGAACUCCCUAGAAACCCCUCCAUAAUCCAAACCGUCUUCAUUACGGAAUCGAAUUAGGAGCUUCUUUUUCAUAUCGCUAACGGAUAACUUUGAUAUUAUAUCGUACGCGUCUUCAAAUGUAGUGGCUCUGCUAACCUUUAGCUGAAGUUGAGCAUCAUUAACGGCCAUUUCAGGCCGGUCAUACAUGUAAGCGAUUUUUCUUUGAUAUUCAUCGUUGAUUUGUUGGAUUGAAUCUGUAUUUUCAGACACGCUGUCAGAAGCCACAACAUUAUCUCUGGGAUCACUCCAUGUAGUCGUUUUAGUAGAAUGAUCCACAAAAUAAACAUGAUAGUCUUCACUUAAACGCAUCUCCCACCCGGCUGGAAGCGGUCCCUUUUCGACGGCCACUUGCUGGCGAACAGACAAAGCCAAAGGGUAGUGUUCCAAUAAAUGUUUGAUUACUUUGUAUUCCAGAUUAAUUUUUAAAGAAGAUUUCGAUUGAUUAUUAAAAAGAAACUGAGAAAAAACUUCUUUCAGCUGUUUAGGAGUCAAAUUUUCAAGCUUCUCAUGAGAAAUGGCUGAUAUCACCGAUAGCUGAGGAGAUUUUAAAUAAUAAACAUGCCCAAACUCAUCAAUUCUUGUUUCCCAAGCGCAUCCACUAGCAUCAUCAAUAAUGUCGGUACAAAUUUGCGAUUUAUCA
rnacentral:lncRNA from 1 species